rnacentral:lncRNA from 1 species
GGAAAAGUACCCAUAUUGUCCUGUCUCACAAGUCUUCUCUGAUGAUCCUUUGCAAAAGUGUGCACUGGUUGUAAUGUCUGUGGGACUGUAUUGUGCUCAAGCCCAGCAGACAGGACCCAGUUUCUGGGCCCAAAAGUGUUGGCAGUAAAAAUAGGAGGGUCUAAGGUCUUCAGGACCCCAGAGAAACUAACAGAAGAAGGCAAGUAUUAAUGAAAAUAUCUAAGUGGCACCUCAGAGAGCUGAGGAUAUCAGCUUCCCUCUUCUGGCUCUCAACAACCUGAGGACAAUGGAACAAGAGACUGUAGAAAAGACACAUUGAUGGUUUAUCACAUUUAGGUUGAAUUCUGGUGAUGUGCUGAACAACACUGAGCCAAACUUCUCACUGCUCGUUGUGUAGAAGAACCUACUUUGCUUUCCUUUGUGCCCUAGGGAUCUUGGAAAUAGACAGCACCGGAGAAUCCUAUUUCUCAGGAAAAGCAAAAAAUUCUGAUGCCUUGUGGGACUCCCCUUGUGCGAGCCAUUGGCAGCGUGCUUUGGUGCUGUCCUCGGAACAGGCCAGGAAGCAGAUGGCAUGUCAGACCGUGACAGUCCUGCUGCUUUAUUCCAGAAGCAGCACAUCCUGUGCUGGCCCAGUGACAACGGGUCCUCCUGGUGACCCACUGGAGUGCAGAAGCUGGGCAGAGUCUCCACUUGGAGGACAGUCCUUACAGGCAGGCUGUGCUACAACAGCUCCCUCUCCCCAUCUGAGGACAACAAGUGCAGCAGAGGAAGUAAAAGAGAUUUCAGCAAUUCUUGUAUCUGAUGAAGAGUAAAUUUAAAGGCAGUGCAUAAGAGAUGCUUACCUUUUAACUCUUCCAGUAAAAGCUUGUUUUCAUGGUGAUAACAAGAAAGAGGUACCAGGACUCCCUCAGCAGAAUCUUUCAGAGGAAUGAAGGUAGAUAUCAUUGAAAUGAGUGAACAUAACAUGUUCUUUGUUCAUUUAAUGUCACAUUUUUCUGCUUCAGGUUUUAUCCCUUUUUUAAUAUGAAAAAAAAAAAUGUUACUUUUCUCUUGAGUUUUGAUUGUAUCUCGAUUCCAUGCAGAUAUUUUAAAUUAUAAAAUAGUAUAACACAAA